AGACUUUCUAGGUCCGCUGAAUGGUCGGA
rnacentral:sRNA from 1 species